CCUACGGGGGGCAGCAGUGGGGAAUAUUGGGCAAUGGGCGCAAGCCUGACCCAGCAACGCCGCGUGAAGGAAGAAGGCUUUCGGGUUGUAAACUUCUUUUUAGAGGGAAGAGCAGACGACGGUACCUCUUGAAUAAGCCACGGCUAACUACGUGCCAGCAGCCGCGGUAAUACGUAGGUGGCAGGCGUUGUCCGGAAUCACUGGGUGGAACGGGAGCGUAGACGGCUGAGCAAGCCUGAAGUGAAAGGCGGGGGCCCAACCCCCGGACUGCGUUGGGUACUGUACGGCUAGAGUGCAGGAGAGGUAAGUGGAAUUCCUAGUGUAGCGGUGAAAUGCGUAGAGAUUAGGCGGAACACCAGUGGCGAAGGCGGCUUACUGGACUGUAACUGACGUUGAGGCUCGAAAGCGUGGGGAGCAAACAGGAUUAGAUACCCUGGUAGUC
rnacentral:rRNA from 1 species